rnacentral:rRNA from 1 species
CACGUAGGGGGCGAGCGUUGUCCGGAAUUAUUGGGCGUAAAGAGCUCGUAGGCGGUCUGUUGCGUCGGCUGUGAAAACCCGGGGCUCAACCCCGGGCCUGCAGCCGAUACGGGCAGACUAGAGUUCGGCAGGGGAGACUGGAAUUCCUGGUGUAGCGGUGAAAUGCGCAGAUAUCAGGAGGAACACCGGUGGCGAAGGCGGGUCUCUGGGCCGAUACUGACGCUGAGGAGCGAAAGCGUGGGGAGCAAACAGG